AGAGUUUGAUCCUGGCUCAGGACGAACGCUGGCGGCGUGCCUAACACAUGCAAGUCGAACGGAAUUAAGUUUAACACCGAACACUUAGUUUGGUGGAAAAGCACUGAGUAGUCGGUGUUGAACUUAGUUUAGUGGCGGACGGGUGAGUAACGCGUGAGUAACCUGCCUUUCAGAGGGGGAUAACGUCUGGAAACGGACGCUAAUACCGCAUAACAUAUUUGUGUCACAUGGCAUGAAUAUCAAAGGAGCAAUUCGCUGAAAGAUGGACUCGCGUCCGAUUAGCUAGUUGGUGAGAUAACAGCCCACCAAGGCGACGAUCGGUAGCCGGACUGAGAGGUUGAACGGCCACAUUGGGACUGAGACACGGCCCAGACUCCUACGGGAGGCAGCAGUGGGGGAUAUUGCACAAUGGAGGAAACUCUGAUGCAGCAACGCCGCGUGAGGGAAGACGGUUUUCGGAUUGUAAACCUCUGUCUUUGGUGAAGAUAAUGACGGUAGCCAAAGAGGAAGCUCCGGCUAACUACGUGCCAGCAGCCGCGGUAAU
rnacentral:rRNA from 1 species